GGUUGAACCACAAAUCCCCGUUUCGUUCAAUUAUAUGCCCAUCAACACACAAACAUUCAUGAUGCGGAUUAAUCUAUUUAUGAGACAGCAACAAGUACCAAACAUCUCAAGCUGAACGGUGAUUCGCAUGUUUAAGUGUAAAACUAACAGCCAUUUGUUGUGGUUGCCUCCUGGGUUUCCCUGGAAAGAAAAGGAAACGUUAAUAAGACGAAUGGGCUUUUUCACUCGCAGCCAAACACACCACUUCACGGUUCCAAUAGGAACAUCAAGUGGAAUCAAGUGGGAGGAAGGGGCUAUCAAAAAGCCCUAGACUGGGGCGUAAUGCUCAUACACCAUUCUCGUGUCCCCAGUUAGAGGGCUCUCUCAGCCGCACGAUAUAGUGAACAAAAUAUCUAGUCUCAAGCAAAUGAGAGGUAUAUAACUAUCUGCUUCAAUCAUUGAAUAAAGUGUAAUGGAUGCAGUUGUCCACCAGAAGAUUACCACUUCAAGAUUGACUAAUAAGGCAGGCUUAUCGCCCCGGGCACAUA
rnacentral:lncRNA from 1 species